GAAAUAUUCAGUGAACUUGGACAAGGCAAUGUGGUGGUGACAGUUUUCUGUGAUGAUGAGUUCUCUACAUGUUCCUUGUCUUCUGUUUCUGAGAUGUCUGAUUCAAGCUUAAACUCAAAUGCAUCAACUGUAAUAGUAGAUGAGGUCCCUAGCAAGAGACGGAGAAUUGAGGAUGGUGCAUUGUCUUCUAAACAGUUGAUAGAAGAUGUGCUAAGAGCCAAGUCUGGUGGUGAAAAAGUACUACAGGAGUACCAAACAUCAGAAACCCUAACAGAUAGCACAAGAAGACAAAUGAUUCACAUAUUGGUGACUCACAUGAUUGAUAAUCAUGGGUAUGUUUUUAUAUUCUUUUUA